UGCAAGUCGGACGGGAUCCAUCGGUAGCUUGCUACCGAUGGUGAGAGUGGCGCACGGGUGCGUAACGCGUGAGCAACCUGCCCAUAUCAGGGGGAUAGCCCGGAGAAAUCCGGAUUAACACCGCAUGCAACCGGAGGAUGGCAUCAUCUUCCGGUUAAAUAUUCAUAGGAUAUGGAUGGGCUCGCGUGACAUUAGCUAGUUGGUGGGGUAACGGCCCACCAAGGCGACGAUGUCUAGGGGCUCUGAGAGGAGAAUCCCCCACACUGGUACUGAGACACGGACCAGACUCCUACGGGAGGCAGCAGUAAGGAAUAUUGGUCAAUGGGGGCAACCCUGAACCAGCCAUGCCGCGUGCAGGACGACUGCCCUAUGGGUUGUAAACUGCUUUUGUUAGGGAAUAAACCCCACUACGUGUAGUGGGCUGAAUGUACCUAAAGAAUAAGGAUCGGCUAACUCCGUGCCAGCAGCCGCGGUAAUACGGAGGAUCCGAGCGUUAUCCGGAUUUAUUGGGUUUAAAGGGUGCGUAGGCGGCACUUUAAGUCAGGGGUGAAAGACGGCAGCUCAACUGUCGCAGUGCCCUUGAUACUGAAGUGCUUGAAUGCGGUUGAAGACGGCGGAAUGAGACAAGUAGCGGUGAAAUGCAUAGAUAUGUCUCAGAACACCGAUUGCGAAGGCAGCUGUCUAAGCCGUUAUUGACGCUGAUGCACGAAAGCGUGGGGAUCGAACAGGAUUAGAUACCCUGGUAGUCCACGCCCUAAACGAUGAUGACUCGAUGUUUGCGAUAUACCGUAAGCGUCCAAGCGAAAGCGUUAAGUCAUCCACCUGGGGAGUACGCCCGCAAGGGUGAAACUCAAAGGAAUUGACGGGGGCCCGCACAAGCGGAGGAGCAUGUGGUUUAAUUCGAUGAUACGCGAGGAACCUUACCCGGGCUUGAAAGUUACUGAAGGGCGCAGAGACGCGCCCGUCCCUCGGGACAGGAAACUAGGUGCUGCAUGGCUGUCGUCAGCUCGUGCCGUGAGGUGUUGGGUUAAGUCCCGCAACGAGCGCAACCCCUAUGUUUAGUUGCCAGCACGUCAAGGUGGGGACUCUAAACAGACUGCCUGCCCAACCAAAAAGGAAGGCGGGGACAACUUCAGUCAUCAUGGCCUUACGUCCGGGGCUACACCCUGC
rnacentral:rRNA from 1 species